rnacentral:misc_RNA from 1 species
GGUAGGAGUGAGCCUGCUCGCGAUAGCGGUAUGUCAGUUGCCAUAAUGUUGACUGACACACCGCUAUCGCGAGCAGGCUCACUCCUACA